rnacentral:rRNA from 1 species
GAUGAACGCUAGCUACAGGCUUAACACAUGCAAGUCGAGGGACCGGCUCACGGGUGAGUAACACCUAUCCCAACUGCCCUUUACUCGGGGAUAUCCUUUCGAAAGAAAGAUUAAUACCCGAUAUCAAGGAUGGGGAUGCGUUCCUUUAGGUUGUUGGUGAGGUAACGGCUCACCAAGCCUUCGAUGGAUGGGGGUUCUGAGAGGAAGGUACCCAACAUUGGAACUGAGACAAGGCCCAAACUCCUACGGGAGGCAGCAGUGAGGAAUAGUGGUCAAUGGGAGCUAGACUGAACCAGCCAAGUAGCUUGAAGGAUGAAGGCUUAUGGGUCGUAAACUUCUUGUAUAUAAGAAUAUGUAUUAUAUGAAUAAGGAUAGGCUAACUCCGUGCCAGCAGCCGCGGUAAUAC